GAAAGUAGGUUUUCUCUCCUUUCCCGAUUCCUCUUUUUCUCUUUCUGUUAAGAGAUUCAUUUGAAACUUUGACAAUUCAUCUGCAGGCUUCGAUCAUUUGCUCGACAUAUUCUUGAGUAAUCAGAACGAGAUCGUAUUACAAGCAACAAAAUGAAUUUAGAUAUAGUGCUUAAGUUCCCACAUGAAGAGGUCACAUUAUGCGUAUGCCGAUACUCACCAAAGGCUGCAUUUACUGACCUAAAAAAGUGUCAGGGAGACAAAUGUGAUUCCUGGCUCCACAAAACGUGUUAUCCACGCAACUACUGCCCAUAUUGUUAUCUCGACAUGAUGGAUGGUCCAUUUUGCGAGCACACUGAAGCUCUACUACCACCAACUGUACUUACUAAAUCCGAUGGAAAAGAUAUAGGUAGAGGCACAUUUGCAAUAAGACCAGUUCAUGAUUUACGUCUGAAAGAGAACGCGCAUCAAGUCCAACUAUGGUGCAUGAACCUACGUGACAAUGCAGCUUCUGGCGUCCAGUGGCCUACAGAGUGCACGUUGACAGUUAACAAUUGCAGUUUGCCGAUAAGUCCAACAGGAUCUGCAAGCAGUCAUGGUGAUUGUAUUUCAAAUAGCAAAAUGAAAGGUGAUAACACUGUUAUCUUGAUGGGAAAUCUGCAAAGGAUCAUGACUACUUUUUUGGAGUGAGCUUGGUCAAAGUACAAUCACUCGAACAGGUCUUGGAAAAAAUUGUUGUCGAACCUUUGGAAGUGGCUGUAAACCAUAGUGUUCCGGUACCUGGUGUGGAAAUGCUAACAGCUAAAGUCAGCUUAACCUGUCCAUUUAAUCAUUCCAGAAUUACACACCCAGCGAGGUUCAAACAGUGCGGACACUUGCUUGACUUAAUAAAGUUUCUGCAAUACGCGCAAGCAUCUAAGAAGCUAGUGAAGUGGGAAUGCCCAGUUUGCAGAAAGAGAUACUCAUUUACAGAUCUGAUAUCUGAUGGCUAUUUAAUGCCAAUUCUUGCUGCAUUACCCGAAGAAGUGAAUGAAAUCGAAGUCCAACACGAUGCUUCUUGGAGGUUAAUCGGAAGGACUACUUGGAAUAAGCCUGGGCCUCCUUAUGUUAUUGACCAGUAGGAGGUGGGAGGAGAAGAUGGAGUGGUGCAUAUCCCUUCUGAUGAAGAGACUCAAGGUGUUGCAUCUGCUUCCGUGGCACCUGCUUACACGGCAUCUACUUCAGAAACUAAAGAUGUUAAUCCACUUGAUGAUAGCUUGAAGGUUUUGGAAAGUCAAUAUGUUGCAUCUACCGGAGGAGGUGGAGUGGUGCAUGUCUCGUCUGCUGAAGAGAUUCGAGAUGUUGCAGCUGCUUCUGUGGCAUCGGCUUCCGUGGGAUCUACGUCUGAAACUAGAGAUGUAAGACCACCUGAUGAUUCCUUGAAGCUGCUGGGAAGACAGUAUGGAGGAGAUUCGGAUUCUGACUGAGAAACGGAGCUUGCACAGCACUAUGGGUACCAGAAGGCAAUUUCAGAGAAAUGACCUUCCACUGUGAUGCAUCUAUGUAGAAAGUUUAUAUUUUAGCAGCUGAACACUAAGGAUAUCUCUCUCUUUCAUACUCCUCGUUUUCACUAAUCACAUGUAUAUGUUCCUUUUCUUCUGUGAUUGAACGGGUUAUUAGUAGUAACCCAUCUUCUUCUGUGACUGAACGGGUUAUUAGUAGUAACCCAUAUAUGUUUUUUUCGAAUUAUAUAUAGCCUUAUAUGCCAA